AAUAUUGGACAAUGGGGGCAACCCCGCUCCAGCCAUGCCGCGUGUGUGACGAAGGUCUUCGGCUUGUAAAGCACUUUAAUUUGGGGGGAAGGGCUGUAGGUUAAUACCCUGAAGGUUUGACGUUAGCAACAGAAUAAGCACCGGCUAACUAUGUCCCAGCAGCCGCGGUAGUACAGAGGGUGCAAGCGUUAAUCGGAAUUACUGGGCGUAAAGCGGGCGUAGGUGGUUCAGUAAGAUGGGUGUGAAAUCCCCGGGCUUAACCUGGGAACUGCUUUCAUAACUGCUGAGCUAGAGUACGGUAGAGGGUAGUGGAAUUUCCUGUGUAGCGGUGAAAUGCGUAGAUAUAGGAAGGAACACCAGUGGCGAAGGCGACUACCUGGACUGAUACUGACACUGAGGUGCGAAAGCGUGGGGAGCAAAC
rnacentral:rRNA from 1 species